UGGGGAAUAUUGCACAAUGGGGAAGACCCUGAUGCAGCGACGCCGCGUGAAGGAAGAAGGUCUUCGGAUUGUAAACUGUUGUCGCAAGGGAAGAAGACAGUGACGGUACCUUGUGAGAAAGUCACGGCUAACUACGUGCCAGCAGCCGCGGUAAUACGUAGGUGACAAGCGUUGUCCGGAUUUACUGGGUGUAAAGGGCGCGUAGGCGGACUGUCAAGUCAGUCGUGAAAUACCGGGGCUUAACCCCGGGCUGGCGAUUGAAAUACUGACAGCCUUGAGUAUCGGAGAGGAAAGCGGAAUUCCUAGUGUAGCGGUGAAAUGCGUAGAUAUUAGGAGGAACACCAGUGGCGAAGGCGGCUUACUGGACGGUAACUGACGUUGAGGCUCGAAAGCGUGGGGAGCAAACAGGAUUAGAUACC
rnacentral:rRNA from 1 species